CCUACGGGAGGCAGCAGUGAGGAAUAUUGGUCAAUGGACGAGAGUCUGAACCAGCCAAGUAGCGUGAAGGAUGACUGCCCUAUGGGUUGUAAACUUCUUUUAUAUGGGAAUAAAAUGUUCCACGUGUGGGAUUUUGUAUGUACCAUAUGAAUAAGGAUCGGCUAACUCCGUGCCAGCAGCCGCGGUAAUACGGAGGAUCCGAGCGUUAUCCGGAUUUAUUGGGUUUAAAGGGUGCGUAGGUGGAUGGUUAAGUCAGUGGUGAAAGUUUGCGGCUCAACCGUAAAAUUGCAGUUGAUACUGGCAGUCUAGAGUACAGUAGAGGUGGGCGGAAUGCGUGGUGUAGCGGUGAAAUGCUUAGAGAGCACGAAGAACUCCGAUUGCGAAGGCAGUUCACUGGACUGCAACUGACACUGAGGCUCGAAAGUGUGGGUAUCAAACAGGAUUAGAUACCCCUGUAGUC
rnacentral:rRNA from 1 species